rnacentral:tRNA from 1 species
GCGGGUGUAGCUCAGUGGUAGAGCACAACCUUGCCAAGGUUGGGGUCGCGGGUUCGAAUCCCGUUUCCCGCUCCA